rnacentral:rRNA from 1 species
GAUGAACGCUGGCGGCGUGCCUAAUACAUGCAAGUCGAGCGAACAGACGAGGAGCUUGCUCCUCUGACGUUAGCGGCGGACGGGUGAGUAACACGUGGAUAACCUACCUAUAGGACUGGGAUAACUUCGGGAAACCGGAGCUAAUACCGGAUAAUAUAUUGAACCGCAUGGUUCAAUAGUGAAAGACGGUUUUGCUGUCACUUAUAGAUGGAUCCGCGCCGCAUUAGCUAGUUGGUAAGGUAACGGCUUACCAAGGCAACGAUGCGUAGCCGACCUGAGAGGGUGAUCGGCCACACUGGAACUGAGACACGGUCCAGACUCCUACGGGAGGGAGCAGUAGGGAAUCUUCCGCAAUGGGGGAAAGCCUGGCAGAGCAACGCCGCGUGAGUGAUGAAGGUCUUCGGAUCGUAAAACUCUGUUAUGGGGGAAGAACAAAUAUGUAAGUGACUAUGCACGUCUUGACGGUACCUAAUCAGAAAGCCACGGCUAACUACGUG